ACAAGAUUACACCAAGUACAAAGUGGGAGCAUGUAAAGGAAGUUCUUGGGGACUGUGGUCGAGCUGCCAUCCACACACAAGGUUCUACAAGCAAUCCGUUUGGAUUUACUUUUGUAUAUGGUUAACAAAACAUUGCACUUGAGUGAGUUUCUUUCAGUCAUGAUGGUGAUAAAAUGGUUGAAUUGAAGGCAUCCAGAAAAGCUGUUGCUGCCACUACUUCUACCUGCACCAAAGUUGUUGUUGCCACAAAUUCUAAGUCCACCAAAGCUGCUGCCACUGCCACAUCUACCUCAACAACCACAAGGCCUCCUACAUCCGGUAAAGUAUCAAAGGACCAAGCUCCAACACCUUCCAGAUCAUCUCAGAGGAUUAGACAGAAUUCAAAACAAGGGGGAAAGUAAGAGGAACUUUGAGGAAUGAUAAGCAAGCCUAACAUUUUUCAUUUUUUUUGUGCAACCUUGGUGUGUGCUACCUAGGUUGCUGGCUCUAAUUUUUUGGGA